rnacentral:rRNA from 1 species
UACGAAGGGGGCGAGCGUUGUUCGGAAUUACUGGGCGUAAAGGGCGCGUAGGCGGCCACCGCAAGUCGACUGUGAAAUCUCCGGGCUUAACCCGGAAAGGUCAGCCGAUACUGCGGGGCUAGAGUGCAGAAGGGGCAACUGGAAUUCUCGGUGUAGCGGUGAAAUGCGUAGAUAUCGAGAGGAACACCUGCGGCGAAGGCGGGUUGCUGGGCUGACACUGACGCUGAUGCGCGAAAGCUAGGGGAGCAAACGGG